rnacentral:SRP_RNA from 2 species
GCUGGGUGUGGUGGCUCAUGCCUGUAAUCCCAGCACUUUGGGAGGCUGAGGCGGGUGGAUCACCUGAGGUCAGGAGUUCAAGACCAGCCUGGCCAACAUGGUGAAACCCUGUCUCUA